GACAGAGGCCCCAAGCGUUAGGCGGAAUCACUGGGCUUAAAGCGUGUGUAGGCGGACGCCUAAGUGUCUUGUGAAAUCCCACGGCUCACCCGUGGAACUGCUGGGCAUACUGGGCGUCUUGGGCCAACUAGGGGCAGCCGGAACAAGCGGUGGAGCGGUGAAAUGCGUAGAUAUCGCUUGGAACGCCGAAGGUGAAAACAGGUUGCUGGGGUUGCGCCGACGCUGAGACACGAAAGCCAGGGGAGCAAACGGG
rnacentral:rRNA from 1 species